AAUAAAUGAAUAAAAAAUGACAUAAGUAAGUAGCCUGAACAAUCACCCUUAGUGAGUUCUAUUUGCAUCCCAGUCAACUUGCUUAUCAGUGACAUGAGGGAACACAGAGGCAAGCUUAUCAAACACACAGAUGCUUUCUGUGCAGUAUAAGAAAUACCUACGACAUAAUGACAAUCGGAGAUCUCAAUAUUUAUUAUCUGGUGUAACUGAGAAAAGAUUUGGAAGAGUUUAUUAUAAUAUAUUUCAAUUUGUUCCUUAAAAAAUUAUCAGCUGUCUAGGAAGAAGCUGGAACAGACCUGGCUUAAAAGCAGACUAGGCAUGGAACAGCAAAUCAGCAGUUCAAGGAGCUGAGGAGAAAAGAACAAAGAGCAGAGGGAUCUAACUGAGGAUACCACAUUGCAUUUGGUUACCAUGUUUCCGGAGUCUUCUCCAGUCUGGUUUGACAACUGUGUUUCACUGAAGAAGAAGAGAACCCACUACUUUCACCAGGGAAACCUCUACUGAGCUGUGUUGCUGGGGCAUUUUGAAAAUGUGACCUCAUGUGGAGUUUUAACCAGCUGUUGUCCUUGGACCAAAUCCUGUUGCAAUUUAUAAUGCUCCUUCUCCAUGUAAAAUCCUGAGGUCCUA